AUUGAACGCUGGCGGCAGGCCUAACACAUGCAAGUCGAGCGAGCGGCGGACGGGUGUGUAAUGUAUGGGGCUCUGCCCGAUAGAGGGGGAUAACUACUGGAAACGGUGGCUAAUACCACAUACUAGCGGAUGGACCCCUAUGGGAUUCGCUAGUAGGUGGGGUAAAGGCUCACCUAGGCGACGAUUUCUAGCUGGGCUGAGAGGAUGAUCAGCCACACUGGAACUGAGACAUGGCCCAGACCCCUACGUGAGGCAGGAGGGGGGAAUAUUGCACAAUGGUCGCAAGCCUGAUGCAGCCAUGCCGCGUGUAUGAAGAAGGCCUUAGGGUUGUAAAGUACUGUCAGCUGGGAGGCGUUACCCGCAGAAGAAGCACCGGCUAACUCCGUGCCAGCCGCCGCGGUAAUUC
rnacentral:rRNA from 1 species